rnacentral:rRNA from 1 species
GAUCAGCUCAGGAUGAACGCUAGCUACAGGCUUAACACAUGCAAGUCGAGGGGCAGCAUGGUCUUAGCUUGCUAAGACUGAUGGCGACCGGCGCACGGGUGAGUAACACGUAUCCAACCUGCCGUCUACUCUUGGACAGCCUUCUGAAAGGAAGAUUAAUACAAGAUGGCAUCAUGAGUCCGCAUGUUCACAUGAUUAAAGGUAUUCCGGUAGACGAUGGGGA